CCGUCCGAUAGCUCAGUUGGCGAGCGGUGGACUGUGAAUCCAGGUCGCUGGUUCAACUCCGGCUCGACGGA